GUCCACGCCUAACGAUGUCAACUGGUUGUUGGACGGCUUGCUGUUCAGUAACGAAGCUAACGCGUGAAGUUGACCGCCUGGGGAGUACGGCCGCAAGGUUGAACUCAAGGAUUGACGGGACCCGCACAAGCGGUGGAUGAUGUGGUUUAAUUCGAUGCAACGCGAAACCUUACCUACCCUUGACAUGUCAAGAAUCUUGCAGAGAUGUGAGAGUGCUCGAAAGAGAACUUGAACACAGGUGCUGCAUGGCCGUCGU
rnacentral:rRNA from 1 species